rnacentral:rRNA from 1 species
UACGGAGGGUGCAAGCGUUAUCCGGAUUCACUGGGUUUAAAGGGUGCGUAGGCGGGUAUAUAAGUCAGUGGUGAAAGCUCCGGGCUUAACUUGGAAACUGCCAUUGAUACUGUAUAUCUUGAAUGUCGUUGAGGUAAGCGGAAUGUUGCAUGUAGCGGUGAAAUGCUUAGAUAUGUUACAGAACACUAAUUGUGAAGACAGCUUACUAAGCGAUGAUUGACGCUGAGGCACGAAAGCGUGGGGAGCAAACAGG